GCACCCUGCAGGAGGAAAACAGACAUGAGCAUGAGGUGUUGACAGAGAGGUGUUCCUGGCUGGAAAGACGCAUUUCGUUUUCGCCAGCAUUAAGCUGCGCUGCGGAAGGGUUGGAGGUGAGCUGGGCCUCAGCAGCACUUCAGCAGCAAGCAAUGAAGUGGAAGGACGUGUGGAUGCAGAAUUGGCCUCCACAGUCACUUACGGACUCACUGUUAAAACCGCGUUUAUGGAAGACAAUCUUACUUGGCUACAAGUGAUCGCCAAAGAAGAAAGAAGACCCCAGGCAGGCUGGGAAAUAAGAACAUGGUGGGCUUGCUUGAAGGAGAAGAGCUGUUGAAUGUCCUGACUCCACUUUACGUUGGCAUGGAAGCUUCUGGCAGAAUGCACCUCAUUCCCCACUGCCCAGGGGCCUAACAGGAAAGCGUAUGGGCCAGAUCGCAUUUGCAAAUCUGCCAGAUCUCUUGCAAUUCACUCACCUUGGCUCCAGGGAGACCAGGCUCACCGGGGCGUCCAGCUUCGCCAGUAUUUCCUUUGGGGCCAGCAGGGCCGGGAGAGCCACGCUCGCCAGGUGGGCCCUGGAAGAGGAAAAGCGGUCAAGUUAUCCCAUUAAGCACUGCAGAAGAAAGCGACAACGUGAGACUACAACCUACCUUGGGACCAGCCAUGCCAUCAGAUCCAGGGAAACCACGGCUUCCGGGAGCACCCUGCGAACGGUAAGGAGGAGAACAGGUUAAUGCCAUAUACACAGCACUGGGCUCUUCCAUCAAAGAGGACAGGAAAAAUAAACACCGAUUGGCCAGGAGGACCCAAAAUACAAAUCCCACAAGACAGAAUCACAUGCAGACCAAAGAAAGUAAAUUCAGAUUCUGGAUAAUCUCGAGAAUAUCAGAAUCCUAGUUUAGGGCCCAGGCUGAAGACAGGACCCCACACCUGCCAGCCUCACAUGCUCAAAGCAGCACACACAACCCACAAAUAGAGAUCAGGCACUGAAAAGGUGUGCAAAGAGUUGCAGGUAACUCAAGAGCGAAAGUACCAGAUGGCAUAUUAUAAGAGGGAGCAAAGAAACAAAAGUAAACAAGAAGACAAGGGAAACUGUCUAGGGGAGAAGGAAGUUUGGAUUUGAUCAAAUGUUUGAUGUUCGAAACACAGCUGAUGACCUGGCUAUAUUGCAGUGGUCUUUUGACCUCAAAGGUCUCAGUUUUUUGUUUUUUAUUUCUCUGUAUGAAAUCAAUUCUCGUGGGACUACCCUGGGAUUUCAACUCGAGAACAGAAAAGAAUGACAGUGUUUCUUUUUCUAAAUUCUAAAUCCAUGGAUGAUUCUUAAGGGAGUGAUCUGUUAAGUGAAAAGGACAGCCAUGUUCUGCCCACUUCCGGUGCCUAGACAGUGCGUCCUCGUGGGUUUAAAACACUCCACGAGCAGAGACCACAUUGUACCAAUUGGGCUCACAUCUUAGACACCUUAAGAGGCAGCUCCUAAUAAAUGGCAAAGGUAUCUGCAGAUUCAGUUUUCUUUGAAGUGUUGCAGCGCACUCUAUUUUUGCAACAACUUUUCCCUGCAGAAUAGCUCUCCUCUGACUCACAGAGGCUUCUCGAGGCUUCCUUUCCAGACUGCUUUGGUUUCAUUUGUAACUUGACCUAGCAAUUCCUAACUAAUCUAAUAAUGUACCGUGAGUAUGUUAGACGAAUACAUGGCCCGCGCACAAAUUAGUCUGGCGGCUAAGAGAGUGUGAUCUUGCUGCCCACAGUUAAGGAGAGACUAGUUUUGGUUCGGGAGGGCAGUGAUAUGGAGAACCAAGUUGGUACAUACACGUUCACCAGCAGGUCCAGGCAAGCCAGCAGGUCCAGGCUCACCACGAGAUCCUCUCUUGCCUUCCUCACCAGGUGGACCAGGGGGGCCUUGGAGACCAGCGGGGCCCUGGAAGAUAAAAUGAAGGAGAGGCAGGUGUUAACAAAAGCGAAAAUGAAACAAGAAAGCGUGUUGCGGUGGGGGCUAACAGGACACCCACCCUUCUGUUGGGUGGGAUUGCCUAGAUGAUCAGGGCUGCGAUUCUAGUAGUGGGGAAGAUUUGGAUGUUGCAAUUUGGGGGACAGCCCACUGGCCUUAUAUUCCUGCUCGCAGCAUUGGGCUUUCUCUUUGCUGCGAGCUUCGGAUCACCCGCCCACCCUCCUCUUUAUUUAGGCUGUUGUGUUUGAUCUUGCUGUGCCUGUCAUGGGGUCGUCUGCUGUUGAGUAGGAAUUUUCCCAUUUGGCUGAUUGGCUGGUGCCACUUGGUUUUUUCCUACUGCGUAGCAAUUCGUCACAACUUGUAAGGCAUUGGUUCAUAAAUUGGUUGGUGGAGGGAUCACGAUUGGUAGUCCCGGUCCCUCCUAUGUUGUUGGUUGGUGGAGGGGCCAGAAUUGGUUGUUGGUUGUGCAGGCCCCUCCAAUGCUGCUGCUACACGGGUGAAUUCCGUUAAAGGAAUCCAGGGGCCUGACAUGCUUUAGUCCGUACCCCAGCAGGCUUCCCCAAACUGCGGCGCUCCAGAUGUUUUGGCCUACAACUCCCAUGAUCCCUAGCUCACAGGACCAGUGGCCAGGGAUGAUGGAAAUUGUAGUCCAAAACAUCUGAAGUUUGGGGGUGCCUGGGCUAGGGCCAUGCAAGAGCCCCUGGGAACAUUUGGCGGAGAGGCAAAGGGCCAGCCUUCCGGCUCCAUUCUCUCCCCAAAAUGCUUUCCCCGCACUGACUUAGUUCUGUCUUAGAGACAGAUGUAUGAUGUAUAUAUGGAACCAAUGCCUAAGCAACCACUCAAAUUUUUGUAUUUAAAUAGAGUUGUGGCCAAAACUAUGCCCAAAACCUUAAACUUAAUUUCUGUGUGCUGUGUGAGUUAUUGGGGGGUGUCCUGGGGACCUCGACAGGCAAUAGAUGCACCACUUUAGAAAUACAUCCCAGGUGAGAGGGAUACUUACGGGUUCACCUUUAGAACCAGUAUCUCCUUUGUUUCCGGGAGCGCCAGGUUCACCCUAAACGUAUUAGGAAGAGACAGAAAACAACAUGAUCACAAAUCUCAUUCAGCACAAGGAAGACAACAAUGAAUCCUUUAUUUUUAUUAUUUUACAAGAGAACAAGGGGAUGUGGCUUCUCUGAGAUGGCUUUCGACAUGCAUCUGUUAUCAAGACUUGGAACUGCAGAGUUGGAAGGGACCCUGCGGAUCCUCUAGUCCAAACCCCUGCAAUUUAGUUGCCCCGUACAGGGAUUGAACCUGCAGCCUUGGAGUUAUCAGCACCAUGAUGCAACUGGCUGAGCUAUCCAGGCUGACAAUCCACAGAGGAAGAGAUUUGAUAUGAUGCUGAUGCAUGUGAUUUGUGGGCUUGGGCCCUGAAUGGAAGGGACAGUUUAUAGUAGGCAUGGCCAAACCUGGCCCUCCAGAUGGUUUGGGACUACAAUUCCCAUCAUCCCUGACCACUGGUCCUGUAAGCUAGGGAUGGUGGGAGUUGUAGUCCCAAAACAUCUGGUGGGCCAGGUCUGGCCAUGCCUGGUUUAUAGGAAGCAGAGCCAAGGAAAAGGAACUUGAGAAUGUAAUCGUGAACAUGCAACUCGAUGUAAACUUCCAUCAUAUGAGAGUUAACAAUAGGGUUUGGUUGAAGGAGCGUCCUGCUAAAUAAUCUUGGAUACUGCUACCCUUAAAAAAGAGAUUUGCAUACCACUGCCUACCAUUUUGAUACCUUUAUCCCACCUGCUACACAAAUCUAGCUGCUCUGGAAUACUGUCCUUUUCAGAAUUUUAAAACCCUGUGUAUUAUACGAUGCUAAAGCAGGGGAGCUGGUAUUACUGGUAGUAUUAGAGGUCAUGGGUUGAAAAAGACCAAGAAACAGUGCUUUAGCUAUUAAACAAGCACAGUUGGAGAGGGUAUGCAGAGAGUGGCAUUUUCUGAAUUAAUUAUGUUAUGGCAGGCUCCUCCUUGCUUUCUCCCAGUUAGGCUAAAGAAGUCUGGGUUUCCUGGAUAACCCACCCAGACGCCUCUAUUUCCAAUUUCUUCAAAGAUCUCUGAAGGCAGGCACAACUUAAAUGACGAGCCAAAAGGUGAGGAGCGAUCAGGUGAGACUUACGCUGUUACCCUUGGGACCAGGAGCGCCGCUGGGACCCUGAGGUCCAGCUGGGCCACGAGGACCGGGGAAGCCGGGAGCGCCAGAAGUUCCGGGA